rnacentral:tRNA from 1 species
GCCGUGGCUCAGUGGUAGAGCCUUGGCAUGGCAUACAGAAGGUUCCUGGUUCAAUCCUCGGCAUCUCCA